rnacentral:tRNA from 1 species
AAAAUAAGUAUGAAACAAUAAAAAAUUUCUAAUUUUAUAUAUUUUAUGGUUAAAAUCCAUUUUUAUUUUA